UGCUUCAAACAUUUAAAACUAAAAUAGGUAUAUGCAACAAAUAUUAAUUUAUUUUUUAAAGCAAUCACAUCAACCAAUAUCCAUUUCUCCAUAUUCAACAUUAAUUCCCUUUCUCGUUUCACAAUAUCAUAGCAGAAGAAAAGUCAGUAUCUUUCUCAUCUUCAAAGCUCAAUUUCAUCAAACAACCAUGUUAAGUCUUACCAAAUCGGUCUCAACUAAGGAUUAACUGAUGAAAAAGGUAUACGGGUAUCGAGAAAGGGAAAUGAGCACAAAGGUCAACGGGAUUCUUGUACCAAAUAAGUUCUGGGAAAAAGAAGCAUUCCAUAUGGCAGCAUAACUCCUCGAUUGUGGAAAUUAUACAUUACUCCCAUCGAACACUGCACGAUAGGAAAGCUGUAAUUAUUUACACUAUACAAGUGGAGAUGGUACAAAUAGCAUAACUGUAUGUACGGAUCUUCUGCUCGGGAGUGACGGGGGAGAGCAAGCCGACAUUUUUAUUCUAAUGCGUACUCACCGGCUGCGUUCACCAAGGUAAACGCGCUCGGAACGCUGGUGAAAAUAACAGAGCUCGAAAUUUAAUAUAUUUGGGUUGCUGCAAUUAGAAACACAUUAAACAUUUGAUACAUCAAAACGAUUAUACAUCAGACCAAAUUAUGAAUCUAAACACAGAGACUUUGGAUUAAAAACAACGCCAUCGACUAUUUGAGAAAUCCUCGGCAUCAUAAUGAUGGAUCACGACAAGUUUUUCUUCUUGGACGUCGUCCAAAGAUGAUGUGUACAUUUUGAUUGUUUCUUCGUGCUAAAUCGGAUAUUUGUGUCAAUUGAUGUCUUUUGACCGCGAAUAUUUUCUUCACGGUCCAGUAAACUAAAAUUUUACAAAACAA